rnacentral:rRNA from 1 species
UACGGAGGGGGCAAGCGUUAUUCGGAAUUAUUGGGCGUAAAGGGCGCGUAGGCGGCUAGAUGUGUCAAAGGUGAAAUCCCUCGGCUCAACUGAGGAACUGCCUUUGAAACUGUCUGGCUUGAGGCCGGGAGAGGGUAGCGGAAUUCCCAGUGUAGCGGUGAAAUGCGUAGAUAUUGGGAGGAACACCAGUGGCGAAGGCGGCUACCUGGACCGGUUCUGACGCUGAGGCACGAAAGCGUGGGGAGCAAAAGGG